UUAGACCUAGUACACGUCCUU
rnacentral:miRNA from 1 species